GACGAGCCCACACAAACGUUAUUCGGAAUCACUGGGCUUAAAGGGUGCGUAGGCGGCGCGGAAAGUUGGGUGUGAAAUCCCUCAGCUUAACUGAGGAACUGCGCUCAAUACUACCGUGCUCGAGGGAGAUAGAGGAGUGCGGAACUUAGGGUGGAGCGGUGAAAUGCGUUGAUAUCCUAGGGAACACCGGUGGCGAAAGCGGCACUCUGGAUCUCUUCUGACGCUGAGGCACGAAAGCUAGGGUAGCAAACGGGAUUAGAAACCCCAGUAGU
rnacentral:rRNA from 1 species